AGAGUUUGAUCCUGGCUCAGGAUGAACGCUAGCGGCAGGCCUAACACAUGCAAGUCGAGGGGUAGAAGGAGCUUGCUCCUUUGAGACCGGCGCACGGGUGCGUAACGCGUAUGCAAUCUACCUUAUACAGGGGAAUAGCCCAGAGAAAUUUGGAUUAAUGCCCCAUGGUAUUAUAGAAUGGCAUCAUUUUAUAAUUAAAGUUCCAACGGUAUAAGAUGAGCAUGCGUCCCAUUAGUUAGUUGGUAAGGUAACGGCUUACCAAGACUAUGAUGGGUAGGGGUCCUGAGAGGGAGAUCCCCCACACUGGUACUGAGACACGGACCAGACUCCUACGGGAGGCAGCAGUGAGGAAUAUUGGUCAAUGGACGCAAGUCUGAACCAGCCAUGCCGCGUGCAGGAAGAAGCAUCUAUGGUGUGUAAACUGCUUUUAUACAGGAAGAAACAACGCUACGUGUAGCGUCUUGACGGUACUGUAAGAAUAAGGACCGGCUAACUCCGUGCCAGCAGCCGCGGUAAUACGGAGGGUCCAAGCGUUAUCCGGAAUCAUUGGGUUUAAAGGGUCCCGUAGGGCGGCCUUAUAAGUCAGUGGUGAAAUCUCCUAGCUCAACUAGGAAACUGCCAUUGAUACUGUAGGGCUUGAAUUUUUGUGAAGUAACUAGAAUAUGUAGUGUAGCGGUGAAAUGCUUAGAUAUUACAUGGAAUACCAAUUGCGAAGGCAGGUUACUAACAAACGAUUGACGCUGAUGGACGAAAGCGUGGGGAGCGAACAGGAUUAGAUACCCUGGUAGUCCACGCCGUAA
rnacentral:rRNA from 1 species